CAAAUACAAUUCCUCUCUUUGGGAGGUAGUGAUUCAUUGCUACACGGGCAAGGGGCUCACAGUGAAUGUUAACCAUCCACAGAUAGAGGGCGCAAAACACGACUUUCCUCGGGUGAGAGUGGGUGUGUGUGUGUGUGUGUGUGAGAGAGAGAGAGAGAGAGAGAGAGAGCGAGCGCAAACUGGCCGUGUCCUUGUUUGACGAAAUCCACAUCUCAAUUCUUGCGCUGACCAUGUCCCCCACCCUUGCGUGAUUUGCCCUCCCCUUUUUCCUCCCACAUGAUUUCUUUCUAAGGCUAUAAUUGGACAACUCUCCCAUUUUUCUCUAUGCUCAUCGUCAGUGUCCCCUCCCAGCAGCAGCAGCAGCACUUCACAUUUCAACUGUGGGGAACAACGUUAUUUGGAGCAUCCAGCCGGCUCCGUAUGGGAAGCACAAUCGUAGGCGGCGAUACAGCGAGUUACUGGGGGGGUUUACAUUGAGAAACACAGCUCCAGCAUGCUCUCCGCCUUCAUCUCCUGCCAGUGGAUUACGUUUUACUUUCAUUUAUGUUCUUUAGUAAGUCUUGGUGAAGCACAAUCUGCAAAGGAAGUGGUUCUUUUGGACUCCAAGGCACAGCAGACAGAAUCGGAGUGGAUCUCCUAUCCUCCCAAUGGGUGGGAAGAGAUCAGCGGCUUGGAUGAGAGCUACACACCCAUUCGCACAUACCAGGUUUGCAAAGUCAUGGAGCCCAAUCAAAAUAACUGGCUUCGGACUAACUGGAUCGAAAAGGGCAAUGCCCAGAGAAUUUUUGUGGAGCUGAAGUUUACCUUAAGGGAUUGUAACAGCUUACCUGGUAUGGUGGGCGCUUGCAAGGAGACGUUCAACUUGUAUUACCAGGAAACGGCUUCGGAGAUGGGCAGGAGUAUGCGAGAGAACCAGUAUGUUAAAAUUGACACAAUUGCAGCAGAUGAAAGCUUCACUCAGGGCGACUUAGGUGAGAGGAAGAUGAAGCUCAACACUGAAGUGCGCAUCAUUGACUCCCUGUCCAGGCAGGGCUUUUACCUGGCCUUUCAAGAUGUAGGGGCAUGCAUUGCCUUGGUCUCUGUCAAAGUUUAUUACAAGAAGUGCUGGUCCAUCAUCGAGAACCUGGCCAUAUUCCCAGACACUGUGACAGGAUCGGAGUUCUCAUCCCUCGUGGAGGUCAAGGGAAUAUGUGUAAACAAUGCGGAGGAGGAUGCUGACAACUCUCCCAUGAUGCACUGCAGCGCUGAAGGGGAAUGGCUGGUGCCCAUUGGGAAAUGCAUAUGCAAAGCGGGAUUUCAUCAGAAAGGAGAAUCAUGUGAACCAUGUGGUCGUGGUUACUACAAGAGUUCCUCCCAGGACCUACAAUGCUCUCGCUGCCCAAUGCACAGUUUUAUUGACCGUGAGGGCUCCUGGCGCUGUGACUGUGAUGACGGCUACUACCGCGCUUUUGCUGAUCCUCCUCCUGUGGCUUGCACAAGACCUCCUUCCGCGCCGCAGAAUCUAGUCUACACCAUCAAUCAGACGACACUUAGUCUGGAGUGGGGUCCGCCAGCUGAUACUGGUGGCCGCAACGAUGUCACCUACAGGGUUCAGUGCCGGCACUGUAGCUGGCAACCUGAAGACUGUAAACCAUGUGGGCCAAACGUCGGAUACCUCCCUGCACAGUCACAAUUAGUGGAUACUUAUGUGAACAUCCUUGACCUCUUGGCCCAUGCAAACUACACUUUCGAGGUGGAAGCUGUCAACGGGGUGUCUGAUCUAAGCCGCACGCAGAGGCUGUUUGCUACAGUUACCAUCGCCACUGGACAAGCAGUUCCAUCCCAGGUCAGUGAGGUCAUCAAGGAGAAAGUGCAACAGCGCAGCAUCCAGCUUUCAUGGCAGGAGCCCCGGCAACCCAAUGGGGCCAUCACAGAAUAUGAAAUCAUAUACUAUAAAAAAGAUCAGAAGGACCAAACCUAUUCGACUGUGAGGGCCAAAUCCACAUCAGCAACUGUGAACAAUCUGAAGCCCAGUACAGCCUAUGUUUUCCAGAUCAGAGCCUUGACACAGGCAGGAUAUGGAACGUUUGGCCCCAGAUUAGAGAUAAUGACAAAGGAAGAGGCAACAGCUGCAAUUGUCUCCAGCGAGCAGAACCCUGUCAUCAUCAUAGCAGUGGUAGCAGUGGCAGGAACCGUAAGCCUGGCGUUCAUGGUGUUUGGCUUUAUCGUCGGGAGAAGGCACUGCGGGUACAGUAAAGCGGACCAAGACGGAGACGAGGAGCUUUACUUUCAGUUUAAAUUUCCAGGCACCAAAAUGUAUAUUGACCCUAAAACCAAUGGAGACCCCAACAGAGCUGUCCAUCAAUUUGCCAAGGAGCUGGAUGCGUCCUGCAUAAAAAUUGAACGGGUUAUUGGAGCAGGACAGUUCGGCGAGGUGUGCAGUGGUUGGCUCAAAGUACCUGGAAAGCGGGACACUUCAGUCGCCAUCAAAACAUUAAACGUGGGUUACACAGAGAAGCAGAAAAUGGACUUUCUGUGUGAGGCCAGCAUAAUGGGACAGUUCGACCAUCCCAAUGUUGUACAUCUUGAGGGGGUAGUGACAAGAGGAAAACCAGUGAUGAUUGUUAUAGAGUUCAUGGAGAAUGACUCAUUAGAUGCCUUCCUAAGAACACAUGGUGGUCAGUUCACAGCCAUUCAGUUGGUUGGGAUGCUGCGGAACAUAGCAGCAGGAAUGAGAUAUCUCGCCGAUACUGGAUACGUCCAUCGAGAUCUGGCUGCUCGAAACAUCCUUGUGAACAGCAAUCUUGUAUGUAAAGUGUCUGACUUUGGCCUGUCCAGGAUAAUAAAUGAUGAUCCUGAAGCUGUCUACUCAACAACCGGUGGGAAAAUAUCAGUCCGGUGGACAGCUCCUGAAGCCAUCCAGUUCCGUAAAUUCACAUUUGCAAGCGAUGUGUGGAGUUAUGGCAUUGUCAUUUGGGAGGUCAUGUCCUUUGGAGAAAGGCCAUACUGGGACAUGUCCAAUCAAGAUGUCAUGAAAGCUCUAGAGGAGAGCUACCGUCUUCCAGCGCCAAUGGACUGUGCCCCAGGCCUACAUCAGCUUAUGUUGGAUUGUUGGAAGAAAGACAGAGGAGAACGUCCCAAAUUUGAUCAGAUAGUCAGCAUUCUUGACAAGAUGAUUCGGAACCCAAACACACUGAAAACACCAGUUGGAACCUCUACAAGGUUGACAGCUCUGGAUACACCCUCGCUUGCUGUGAGAACCAUGGCAAAACAGGACUAAAUGCCCACCAAACAGCUGAAUGUGACACGACUUGAAAAGACUGAAAUGUACGACGGACCACCUCCAAGUUUUGAUACGGCCUAUUACGUACUCUCAGUGCAAGAGUGGCUGGAAGCUAUCAAGAUGGAGCGAUACAGAGACAACCUUACAGCAGCUGGCUGCAGUUCCCUGGAAUCUGUGGCCAGGAUGUCAACUGAGGAGGUCACGAGGUUGGGUAUCACACUGGUGGACCAUCAGAAAAAGAUGAUGAACAGCAUUCAAAUAAUCAGAUCCCAGAUGUUGCAGCUUCAAAGUACAGGUGUUCAGGUCUGAUCAGAGCAAAUAUGGAAAUGUUGUAUGAAAUGGAACCUGGUUUGAAUCAGAAUAAGUGGACAUCUGAUAUCGGAUCCCUGCAGCUGCAACCAGUGGGGGAAAAAAGAUCGUGGGCACCAAGUCGAGGAAGAAAUGCAAAAAAAACAACAAUAGCAAUAUCUCUUGUUUUUUUUUUCAAAUGAGCUACCGAAAAUAUAUGAAAUGAAUUGAAAAUAAUGUUUUUACCAUUAAUGACUGAGUCACCUGCACACUAUGGCAAUGUUUUUCUCUUUUUUUUUUUUUUUGCCAUGGUGUGUACAUAAUUCCCAUUUCCUUCUACUUAGACUUGGAAACAGGGUAUCCUCAUUAUUAUUCUAUAUGGAGGAAACCUCCAAAAGGUGCAUUUUCUAUUGGCACAUUAGGAGAUUAUCUGAAACUUCAUUUUGUUUUGUUUUAAAAUGCAUUUCAAUUGGAAUCCUUGGUAAAGUGUGCAAUACUGAUGUUUUUCUUGACAGAACUCCUUGACUCUUUAUCAAAGUACAAAAAGUAAUACUAUAAGAAUUUAUCACAAAGACUUGAACCAACAAUCACCUCCCAAUUUUGCCGAAAUAUUGCACAUCUCUGAUACUUCAUAGACUAUGAUUUUAAUGUGGCAGCAAAGACUCAUAAAGUCAGAAAAAGAAACUUGCGUAAUCUCAACUCAUACGUUUGGGAAGUCACCAAAUUGCGUGAGGAUACAAAGAACCUGACCGGAAGGCCACUGUUUAGAACUCAAGCCACCGUCAAGAGUUUUAUGAAAUAAAUUCACAAAUACCAACCUUAGCCCGACGAAUGGCUAAUGCACACACUCCUAACAAUAUUGAGAGGAACAAAUACAAGUAAAGACUGUCAAUCAAGGUUGGCCUGUUUUCCUUGUUGUAUGUCUGAGCGAAAACUCGCACUGCAAGAACACAAUGUAAAGUGCUAGUGUGCAGAGAAGGAAUAAACUAAAUGACGCAAUAAUUACCAGGUUAAAAAAAACGAACUCCACUUGAGAUUUCUAAGGUGCUAGUCGUGUGUGCUGAUAGGAUAUGACAUUUUUGGAAAGCACUAUUCAGUCACUAGAAUGUUUAUAUUUGUAUCCACCAAAUAUGCUGCCUGAUACGGUCAAUAUACGGUUGAGGAUAUUAAAAAUGGAGCUAUUGUAUAUGGCCAGACAUGGAUUCCAAUGUUGAACAUCUGCGGUGUUCAUUCGUUAGGACUGCAAAUGAUGUGAAAUGCAAUUAAUUUACUCCGUGUGUCUAUGAAUAGCAGAAACUAGAGGUUUUGCAGCAAAUUAUUGUUCCAUCACCUCAAACCUCCAAAACAUUUCCAGUUGAGCGUUUACAAAGUCUUCUCGAAGAAAGACGAGGAAAAGCUGUUAUUGCAUUGACUUUGUUUAUCAAGAUAUAAACAAUAAUAUAUAAUGCAAGGAAACGUACAGUAUGGACUUACUAAUGUAUGAAUAAAGCAGCAAACAAAAUGUUUUGAGGACAUGUGCAACGCUGUUUUCUUCUGAUGUGCCACUCAAUCUGCUCUAAAUACUGAACCCAAUUCCAAUGAAGUUAGGACAUGUAAAAAUGUCAAUUGAAACAGAAUACAACGAUUUGCAAAUUCUUUUCAACAUAUAUCAAAUUGAAUGAACUCAAAACAACAUAUUUGUUUCAAGUGAAAAAAUGGUUUUCUAGCGACUCUUCACUCAUUUUGAAUUUGAUGCCUGCAACACCUUCCAAAAAAGCUGGGACAGGGGCAUGUUACAUCACACUCAACAAGCGUUUGGGAACUGAGGACACUAAUUGUUCAAGCUUUGGAGGUGGAAUUAUUUCACAUUCUUGCUUGAUGUACAACUUAAGUCGAGGAUCUCCAUUGUCAUAUUUGACCCUUCAUAAUGCGCCGCACACUUUCAAUGGAAGACAUGUAGUCUAGCCCACACACUCUUUGACCAUGAAGCCACACUGUUGUAACAUGUGCAAACCAUGGCUUGGCAUUGUCUUGCUGAAAUGAGCAGGGAGGUCCCUGAAAAAGACAUUAGCAGGAUAGCAGCAUCUCUCUCUCUCUCCAAAACCUGUAGGUACCUUUCAGCAUUAAUGGUGCCUUCGCAGAUGUGCAAGUUACCCAUGCCAUGGCUGCUAACACAGCCCCAUACCAGAGGCUGGCUUUUGAAAUUUGUGCUGAUAAAAAUCGGGAUGGUCCUUUUCAUCUUUGGCCCUAAGGACACUACGUCCAUGAUUUCCCAAAACAAUUUGAAAAGUGGACUCGUCAGACCACAGAGCACUUUUCCACUCUCCAUCGGUUCAUCUCAGUUGACCUCGGGUCCAGAGAAGCCGGCAGUGUUUAUGGGUGUUGUUGAUAUAUGGCUUUUGCUUUGCAUGGUAGAGUUUUAACUUGCAUUUGUAGAUGUAGCAACGAACUAUGUUAACUGACAAUGUUUUUUUGAAGUGUUCCUGAGCCCGUUUGGCAAUAUCCUUUCCACAAUGAUGCUGGUUUUUAAUACAGUGCCGUCUGAGGGAUCGAAGGUCACAGGCUUUCGAUUAGAUUUUUGGCCUUGCCAAUUUCUCCAGAUUUUCAGAAUUUUUUGACAAUAUUAUGGACCGUAGAUGAUCAAAUCCCUGAAUUCCUUGCAAUUGUACGUUGAGAAACGUUGUUCUGAAACUGUUGGACUAUUUGCUCACGCAUUUGUUCCAAAAGUGGUGAACCUUGCACAAUGCUUGCUUGUGAACAACUGAGCCUUUCAGGGAAGGCCAUUUUAUACCCAAUUAUGACACUCACCUGUUUCCAAUUAACCUGUUCACCUGUGGAAUGUUACAAACAAGUGUUGUUGUUUUUCUAGCAUUCUUCAACUUUCCUAGUCUUUUGUUGCCCCUGUCCCACAUUUUUGGGAACGUGUUGCAGGCAUCUAAUUCAAAAUGAGUGAAGAGUAGCUAGAAAACCAUUUUUUCAGUUGAAACAAAUAUGUUGUUUUUAGUUCAUUCAAUUUAAUAUAUGUUGAAAAGAAUUUGCAAAUCAUUGUAUUGUUUUUAUUUUCGUUUUACAUAAUAUCCCAACUUUAUUGGAAUUGGGGUUUGUAGCGAGAAAACUAAUACAAAAAUCAUCAGAACUCAAAAGGCUCAGCUGACAAGGCCAAGAAAAUAAAUCAAUAUCAAUACUGUAAACACAAUAUUAGGUUUUGUUUGCUCGGCGUAUUCCAUACAACCAAUUGUCCACGGUUACAUUCUGACAUCUGCAUUAUUGCUGCUUCAUUUCAGUUAAGGCAGAGAAAUAUGAAAUGUCGGAUGAAUCUUGAGAGAUAGGGAAAGUUUGAACUCACCUAUCUCCGUUCCGCCAAUCGUCUUAACCUUCCUCAAACAGAAUUAUUUUUAUUAUCUUAUUUCAUGUCCAAUAUAAACUUCAGGGUUCUUAGAUAUGGAUAAAGAUUUGUUGUGGUUUGUUACGACUAAAAUCUAAAUACAAACAUAAAAAAAUACAAAUCUUUUUUUUUUUUUUUUUUUACCUGUCCUGUUCAGCUCCAUGACCAUGCCGAAUGCUGGUAAAGUCUAAAAAUAAAAAUACUAAUCUGCUUAAACUACAAUGGUUUGAAUCACAAAUGGCAUAAAAACAAAAACCCCCAAAAUGUUUUUGACUCUGUGGUUCAGCACUGGAAAUCGUGUCAUUGCUUUGGUGACAACUGUUAGCACAGUUGUCUGUUCUAAUUGUAAAAGUUGUACAUUUUAUUUAUAUUGUUUUUCACAUAUUACUGAAUAGAGAGUUCUGAAUACAUUGAAAAUGCACUAUACAGUAUUUUUUUUAAAUAUUUUGUAGAUUGAUUACACUCACUCACAAGAUUUCAGUUGUACAGACGUUUUCAUUUAGGACCAAAGAUGACUGAUAGGAUUGGAUCUUUAUUAGUGAUGUUGUAUUCAUUUUUUGCCUUUUAAAUAUGUAGUCAUAAAAACAAUGAUGGAUUAUUUACUAUUCAAUGAACACAGUGAGAAUGAUCAACCAUUGAUUAACUUCAUCAGCAAGUCCAUUAAUUAGAUUUUUUUUUUUUUGUGGGGGGGGGGGCUUAUU